rnacentral:lncRNA from 1 species
AUGGCCUGGGGGGGCACCCACAUGACACCUGCUGCCCUGCACGUGGUGCUGGCCCCAGACUUUGCCCCACUCUCUCCAAAGAACAGGAAGCAUUUGCGGCUCCGCACAGCCCCGGGGGGCCGGGGUGCGCUGGCACAGCAAGAGCCCCCCAGUUACGCUGGCAGGGCUGCAAACCUUGACCCUGAACCAAGCUUUUACUCAAGGAGCUCUGUAAGAUUUGCUAAUCUCGAAAUAUUGUUGGCAUCCAGAGCAGUGAUUUACUGCGUGUUUUGCCACAGCAAGAACUUUCCGAAAGGCCAUGCUAAGUUUACACCGGAGCGGCCGGGAUCAGAUAACCGGCUGCUGGCUGCUCCCUCCGUUCCCCCCAGUCCCCACUGGCUGCUGUGCUGGGGUGCAAAGGACAUCAGCUUCCCCGCGCCCUGCAAGGAGGAGGUGACCCCAGCCACAAGCAGCAGCAGAAAGGGGACACCGAGGGUGUUUUUGCCCAUCCAGGUGGCAGGGUGGGAUGUGAGGAAGAUGUGGAUUUGCGCACGGCUGUGGCACUUCAGGUUUGAAGUCAGACUGCCAGGGAUAGGGAAGAGCCAGCCCCGCCGUCCUGGCCCCGUUUCCUCCCCAAGGGCUUUGCAGGUUGUGAAAUUAAAUCAGCUUCUCAACAUCACCGGCACUUGGGGCUGGAUGUUCCUGAGCGUUCCUGCAGCAUUUUGCCACCUGUGGGAUCGCAAGGGCUUUGCGGGAGCUGGGGAGGAAUGUCAUGGGAUCCUGGCGUGUUCCCCACACCGUCCGACCGCUGUUUUGGGGGAGGUCCUCCUCCUUCCUGAGGACCACAGCCCCCCUCCACUGUCACCAGAUCCCCUGGGACCUGUGCCACCUCCUAACCCCCAGGAGAUGGGAACCAGCUCCCUGCACGUGUUCGUGGCAAAAGCCAUCAGCAGGCUCAGCCCUCACUUGGUCACAAUGGGCUGGACGCGGUGGCCUUCCCCUGCAAAAAUACGCGAGCAGCCCUGCUGUGUUGGUGCGCGCAUGGGUGAGGAGGAGGAGGAUGAAGUAUCUCUACCAUGGCGGUCUCCUUGCAGGUUGUCGGGUCAAGAGAUAAAGUCCUGUUCGCUCUCAGAACCCCAAGUCCUGGCGUAG